rnacentral:rRNA from 1 species
GACAAACGCUGGCGGGGUGCGUGAGACAUGCAAGUCGAACGGGGUUCAUCGGGCUUGCUCGGUGAACCUAGUGGCGGACGGCUGAGUAACGCGUAGGUGACCUGCCCGGAAGUGGGGAAUAACUGCCCGAAAGGGUGGCUAAUACCGCAUGUGGUCGGCGAAUCAGUUCGUCGUCCAAAGCCGCAAGGCGCUUCCGGAGGGGCCUGCGUCCGAUUAGCUAGUUGGUGGGGUAAUGGCUCACCAAGGCGACGAUCGGUAGCUGGUCUGAGAGGAUGAUCAGCCAGACUGGGACUGAGACACGGCCCAGACUCCUACGGGAGGCAGCAGUGGGGAAUAUUGGACAAUGGGCGAAAGCCUGAUCCAGCGAUGCCGCGUGUGUGAAGAAGGCCUGCGGGUUGUAAAGCAC